UACGUAGGGGCCAAGCGUUGUCCGGAUUUAUUGGGCGUAAAGAGCUCGUAGGCGGUUGGGUAAGUCGGGUGUGAAAACUCCAGGCUCAACUUGGAGAUGCCACCCGAUACUGCUCUGACUUGAGUUCGGUAGGGGAGUGGGGAAUUCCUGGUGUAGCGGUGAAAUGCGCAGAUAUCAGGAGGAACACCGGUGGCUAAGGCGGUUCUCUAGUACGGUACUGACGCUGAGACGCGAAAGCGUGGGGAGCGAACAGG
rnacentral:rRNA from 1 species